AAAAAGGGACAGUUUUGGACACAAAGAAUGACAAGGAGUAUUACAACGAAUUUUCAGCUGUGGAUACAGGAGAUAAACAAAGUGGGCGAGAUGUGGUUACAUCCCCGUAUGCAGAACUUAGUGAACUCGACCACCAAAACACUUAUGAAGAACUUCACCAAUAUGAAAAAGCAGACGGAAAAAUGUAGAUGUACGGAUUGCUGAUGUUAAUAUUUAAUUGUAGAAAUCAUGUCCAUCUCUAGAUUUAUAUAUUUACAUAGACUUUUUCAGUUGUUUAAUAUCAAUGCAUAUUCUUGUUUCUUAUCGAGAGGACUUGCACAAGAUAAGACACUUCUCUGGCUCAUACAGUCGUUUUAUAUGUAUAUUAAAUAAUCAACGUUGUCGGCAGAAUAUCGAGCAGAAGAUUGUAUACAUGUACUUUGACAACAGAAAAAAGGCUAAGCAAAGGAAGAUAAUAUUUAUACUUUCACUUUCGAUGCAUGUAUUAAUUAAAUCCACGAACGCAUGUUUAUUUACCACUGUAAAGAAGUUUAAACAGAGACAGCCAAAACAUGAUAUUACUAUAAACUUAAUAUUUAAUUUCCCCUCUUUAAUCACGGAAAAAGAUAAUUGGCAUUUGUUUUACUCCAAAUCUUUCUAUUUCUAUCUCUAUUUCGAAAAAAAAGUGAAGUACAUGAGGAAAAUAUGUGUGAUGUUUAUGACGUCUAUUCAU